rnacentral:rRNA from 1 species
AACAUAUCAAUAAGCGGAGGAAAAGAAACCAACAGGGAUUGCCUUAGUAACGGCGAGUGAAGCGGCAACAGCUCAAAUUUGAAAGCUGGCCCUUUUAGGGUCCGCAUUGUAAUUUGUAGAGGAUGAUUCGGCGAGGGCUCCUGCCUAAGUCCCCUGGAACGGGGCGUCAUAGAGGGUGAGAAUCCCGUAUGCGGUAGGUUGCCUUAGCCAUGUGAAUCUCCUUCGACGAGUCGAGUUGUUUGGGAAUGCAGCUCUAAAUGGGAGGUAAAUUUCUUCUAAAGCUAAAUACCGGCCAGAGACCGAUAGCGCACAAGUAGAGUGAUCGAAAGAUGAAAAGCACUUUGGAAAGAGAGUUAAAAAGUACGUGAAAUUGUUGAAAGGGAAGCGCUUGCAACCAGACUUGUCCGCAGUUGCUCAGCCGGUCUCCUGACCGGCGUACUCUUCUGCGGCCAGGCCAGCAUCAGUUCGGGCGGUCGGAUAAAGGCCUCGGGAAUGUAGCUCCUCUCGGGGAGUGUUAUAGCCCGGGGUGGAAUGCGGCCAGCCUGGACUGAGGAACUCGCUUCGGCAAGGAUGCUGGCGUAAUGGUUGUAAGCGGCCG